ACCGCGUGCGGCGACUGGCGAACGUGGAACGGACCACGGGGAAGCCGCGCGGCGCAGCAGCCGAGUGGUGCCGCCCGCCUGGGUGCCCCGG
rnacentral:ncRNA from 2 species